GACGAACCGUGCGAACGUUGUUCGGAAUCACUGGGCUUAAAGGGCGCGUAGGCGGGCGGUCAAGUCAGAGGUGAAAUCCCACGGCUCAACCGUGGAAGUGCCCCUGAUACUGACUGUCUCGAGGGAGGUAGGGGCGUGCGGAACUUCCGGUGGAGCGGUGAAAUGCGUAGAUAUCGGAAGGAACACCGAUGGCGAAAGCAGCGCGCUGGACCUCUACUGACGCUGAGGCGCGAAAGCCAGGGAGGCAAACGGG
rnacentral:rRNA from 1 species